UUCUACGGCUAUGGCAGCACUACAACUGUCAAUGAACUGUUAACGCCGCUUUGGCAAAGCACAAUUUUAUUUUCUUGAAAAUUUCAGUAAUAAAUCUAAGUUUUGUUUUAUCAAAAAGUUUAUUUUCUCCUUUUCUGUGUACGACUACGCAUAAUCUCCAAAAUGUCUUUCAUGAAUCCAGUAGAUAUGGUCGAGGAAGAUGCUGCGGAUUUGCAAUUUCCAAAGGUCAAGUUAGAAGUGCCAAAAAAUUUGUCUAGCAAAAUAACGGCUACCAGCAUGAAUUGCACAAACCACAGUAAUCAAAUUAUCAAAGUGCGCCCCAAUACGGAUACCAAAUAUGUUAAAGCUUGCUAUAACGUUGAACAAUUGAACCGAGCAUUGGAGCAACACAGCAAAGCUAAACUUCUUUACAAUGCCGAUGCUAUUAAAGCUAGUGCACAUAAUACAGAACAUUGCGCCGCCUGCAAAUGUGAUCUCUAUGAGCCAUUUAUUAAGUGUGCCGAUUGCGAACAUACGCUACUCUGCCUGCAAUGUUUUGCGAAGGGCAGUGAGACGGCGAUGCACCUCAAUACACAUGCCUACAUUAUUGUGCGGGACGAUAUACAGGUAUUCCCCGGCGCUGGCGACUGGACUGCUCGAGAUGAACGUAUUUUAUUGCAUACACUGGAGAAGAAGGGCUAUGGCAAUUGGGAGGCAGUCGUUCAGGCAUUGAGUUUCCGACACAGCGUAGAGGAAUGUCGUCAGCACUAUCAUGAUUUCUAUUUCGGUGGCAUAUUUGAGCGGUUACUCGGCCUAACACAUGCGAGAAAUGCUUACUUUCCCGAACGCAUGCCUUAUGUUGUAAAAAUGCGUUCGGUAGACCCACCACGUAGUGAUGAGACGGCUACAAUGCAAUUCAAAAUGAUGGCGGGUUAUCGUUGUGCUCGAGGUGACUUCGAUACACCCUUUGAUAAUUCAGCUGAGGAUUUACUUACAACAAUUAUGCAAGAUACUUUCGCAAGCAAGGAGGACGAUGAUGAGUUACUCGAUUGUAAAAGUCGCGAGGCUUGUGAUGAGUUGCAAUUAGCGUUGGUGCGUGCUUAUAAUCAUCGUUUGAGCGAGCGUCAACGUCGCUACAGAAUUAUGCGUGACCACGGUCUGAUUAUGCCGAAUCGUACACUGGGCUGGAUAUCAAAGUAUGGUGAGGCGUUGGGAUCCGAAUCGAAUUGCAAUCGUUUUCUUUCUUUUAUGCAAAUCUGCAAUCCUGUCAAAUUUGAUAUGCUUGUGGAAUCACUGAAAUAUUUCACAGACGUCCAGAAGAAGAUUUAUCGUUUGUAUGAACUACGCCAGAGUGGUGUGCGCACGCUGACCGGUGGGUCAUUAUAUUUCCAAUUGAAAAAGCAACGCGCACAGCAACAGCGUGAACGCUUAAAGGAUGAUACCUAUCGUCAACUGCACGAUUGGCGAAAGCUUAUACCAAGCGCACAAACGCUCAUACCAAAUCCUUUCGCUACCUCACACUUAGUACCAAAUCCGAGAAAGAAAGCUGGACCAAUGGAUAUAAUAGGCUUGUCCGGCUAUACAAAACUCACUGAUGGCGAACGUAAACUGUGCAGCGUUGAACGUAUUGCACCACAAGCUUACUUAGAUUAUAAGAAUAUAUUAAUAGCUGAGAAUAUGAAAAUGGGUCACUUGCGUUUGGCCGAUGCCAGGCGUCUAAUCAAAAUCGAUGUCAAUAAAACACGUCAAAUGUAUGACUUCCUCAUUGAAAAUGGCCAUAUAAAUAGACCAACGUGAUGUGUUGGAAUUCUGGCGUCACGGCGUCACAGUAAGCAAACUGUGUACACUUUAAGUUUAAUGACCUUCUAUAGAUAGUUCGAAAAUGCCGAGACGCUGCUUAUUUCCGAAGUACACAUGCUGCUGGAUCAUCGGAAAAGGCAAAACGAAUCCGCCGAUGAGGA